GAUGAACGCUGGCGGCGUGCUUAACACAUGCAAGUCGAACGGGAAUUAUUUUAUUGAAACUUCGGUCGAUUUAAUUUAAUUCUAGUGGCGGACGGGUGAGUAACGCGUGGGUAACCUGCCUUAUACAGGGGGAUAACAGUCAGAAAUGGCUGCUAAUACCGCAUAAGCGCACAGAGCUGCAUGGCUCAGUGUGAAAAACUCCGGUGGUAUAAGAUAGACCCGCGUUGGAUUAGCUGGUUGGUGGGGUAACGGCCCACCAAGGCGACGAUCCAUAGCCGGCCUGAGAGGGUGAACGGCCACAUUGGGACUGAGACACGGCCCAGACUCCUACGGGAGGCAGCAGUGGGGAAUAUUGCACAAUGAGGGAAACCCUGAUGCAGCGACGCCGCGUGAAGGAAGAAGUAUCUCGGUAUGUAAACUUCUAUCAGCAGGGAAGAUAGUGACGGUACCUGACUAAGAAGCCCCGGCUAACUACGUG
rnacentral:rRNA from 1 species